rnacentral:rRNA from 1 species
UCUCCGUUGGUGAACCAGCGGAGGGAUCAUUACCGAGUUUACAACUCCCAAACCCCUGUGAACAUACCAAUUGUUGCCUCGGCGGAUCAGCCCGCUCCCGGUAAAACGGGACGGCCCGCCAGAGGACCCCUAAACUCUGUUUCUAUAUGUAACUUCUGAGUAAAACCAUAAAUAAAUCAAAACUUUCAACAACGGAUCUCUUGGUUCUGGCAUCGAUGAAGAACGCAGCAAAAUGCGAUAAGUAAUGUGAAUUGCAGAAUUCAGUGAAUCAUCGAAUCUUUGAACGCACAUUGCGCCCGCCAGUAUUCUGGCGGGCAUGCCUGUUCGAGCGUCAUUUCAACCCUCAAGCCCAGCUUGGUGUUGGGACUCGCGAGUUAAAUCGCGUUCCCCAAAUUGAUUGGCGGUCACGUCGAGCUUCCAUAGCGUAGUAGUAAAACCCUCGUUACUGGUAAUCGUCGCGGCCACGCCGUUAAACCCCAACUUCUGAAUGUUGACCUCGGAUCAGGUAGGAAUACCCGCUGAACUUAAGCAUAUCAAU